AUUGAACGUUGGCGGCAUGCCUUACACAUGCAAGUCGAACGGCAGCACGGGAGCAAUCCUGGUGGCGAGUGGCGAACGGGUGAGUAAAGUAUCGGAACGUGCCCAGUCGUGGGGGAUGACGUAGCGAAAGUUACGCUAAUACCGCAUACGAUCUAUGGAUGAAAGCGGGGGAUCGCAAGACCUCGCGCGAUUGGAGCGGCCGAUAUCAGAUUAGGUAGUUGGUGGGGUAAAGGCUCACCAAGCCGACGAUCUGUAGCUGGUCUGAGAGGACGACCAGCCACACUGGGACUGAGACACGGCCCAGACUCCUACGGGAGUCAGCAGUGGGGAAUUUUGGACAAUGGGCGAAAGCCUGAUCCAGCCAUGCCGCGUGCAGGAUGAAGGCCUUCGGGUUGUAAACUGCUUUUGUACGGAACGAAAAGGUUUGGCCUAAUAAGCUGAGCUCAUGACGGUACCGUAAGAAUAAGCACCGGCUAACUACGUGCCAGCCGCCGCCGUAA
rnacentral:rRNA from 1 species